UGGGGGAUAUUGCACAAUGGGCGAAAGCCUGAUGCAGCGACGCCGCGUGGGGGAUGAAGGCUUUCGGGUUGUAAACCUCUUUCGCUAUCGAACAAGGCCCGCUUAGGGUGAGUUGAGGGUAGGUGGAGAAGAAGCGCCGGCUAACUACGUGCCAGCAGCCGCGGUAAUACGUAGGGCGCGAGCGUUGUCCGGAAUUAUUGGGCGUAAAGGGCUUGUAGGCGGCUUGUUGCGCCUGCUGUGAAAACGCGGGGCUUAACUUCGCGCGUGCAGUGGGUACGGGCAGGCUUGAGUGUGGUAGGGGUGACUGGAAUUCCAGGUGUAGCGGUGGAAUGCGCAGAUAUCUGGAGGAACACCGAUGGCGAAGGCAGGUCACUGGGCCAUUACUGACGCUGAGGAGCGAAAGCAUGGGUAGCGAACAGG
rnacentral:rRNA from 1 species